rnacentral:sRNA from 5 species
GAGCGAAGCGAGAGAACGUUGCGUCAGCAACGGCCCGCAGGGCGAGCCACGCAGUGGCGAGUCAUCCUCUAUCACCGACCA